AUGAUCGGUGGAAGAUUAUCAACAAAGCGUGCACUUUGUGGAAGGGAAGCUUGGAGAGCCAUGGUUGACAUGCCUAGUGGAAGGGGCGUCUCAGAAAUUGUGAGGUGACAAAGCAAUGGCAAUUUACAAGAUAAGAACUACACCAAAAAAUCAAGCUUUUAAGUUGCAUCAUGCUUGGAACAUCCUCAAGGAUUGUCCGAGGUGGGGAAUCAAUGCGAAUCAACAAUGUGGAAGAUUAUUUCAUAAUGAAGCCCCACCUCCAAAUGAUGUCAAUAAAGGUGUGAAUUUUGCCGACAAUGAAGGUGUCAACCAAAUGAGCCCAACUUCUUCUUUGCCAAGGCCCUCGGGUAGAGAUAAGCAAAAGGAAGCAAAGAGAAAAGGGAAGUCCCAAGAUCCGAUACGUGAACAAUUUGCUAGCGAAAUGGCAAGAAUGAACGAAAACCAGUGUCGUCGUCAAGAAGAAUCGGCCCAAAUGUUU
rnacentral:sRNA from 1 species